rnacentral:rRNA from 1 species
UCUCCGCCGCUCCCCUAAACCCCAUUUUUAGGGUUUGUCGCCGCCCUCCGCCCAGCUCCCCCCUCUUCUACCACCUCCUCGAAGCAUCCAAACCCCUAGCCGUUUUAAGCCAAUCUCCUCCCAUCGAGAGAGAGGCAUCUUGCGGCGCAUCGGCACAUUCGUUGAGUCGCAGACAUGUCUUCGUUUUGGGGCGCGGAGGUGAAGCCCGAGAAGCCCUACACGCACACCCACAGCCCGCGCCGCGGCCGCCUGCGCCUCACCCAGGCGACUCUGGGGGCCGAGGUUGGCAAGGUGGAGAAGGGGAAGACGGACUUGGUGCAGCUGCAGUGCACUGUUAAGAACAAGGAGCCUGUGUAUCUCUGCGCCCUGAUACCGGGGCAGUCGGUGACUUGCCACUUGGACCUUGAGUUCGAGGAGAAGUUCGUGACGUUCUCGGUGCUUGGGUUAAGGAGCGUCCACUUGGCUGGCUACUAUGUUGGUGAUGUGUACGAGGACAUCGGUGAUAGUGAUACUGGUAGUGAGUCACUUCAAGGCUCCGAUGAUGAUUUCAUGGCAUCUGAUGACGAUGAUGUGGUCAUUCCAGUAUCCCAUGGCCAGAUGAACACAGACAGCGAAGAUGAUUCAGACUAUGACGAGGACUAUGAUUCAGAGGAUGAUGAGGAUUUGAUCUACAACCAGGGUAGAGGCAAGAGUUCAGUUGUCAUUGAGGAGAUUCAAGAUGAUGAGAAGCCUGUUGAUGAUAAUUCUCGACUUCAGCUUGCUGUUAGGACCCCACCUGCUGAAUCCGUGGAAAGUGAAGAUGAAGAUGGCUUUCCUGUUUCUGAAUCAAAGAAGAGUUCUAAAGGUAGUUCCAAGAAGGCUAAGAAUCUAAAUAAUGGGACUAGUACUGAAGACAGGAAAAGGAAAAGUGAUGCUAUUAAUGAUCCUCACAAGUCGUUAGGGGAGGUUAAUGCUGAAAAUGAUGUGGUUUCAAAGAAAAAGAAAAAGGACAAGAAGGAGGUGAAGCUAGCUUCCUCAGCUGACACUGUUGCAGCCAAACAGAAGAAAAAGAAAAGCAAGAAGCAAAGUACUUCUGAAGGUGACACUGAUAAGCAAGCUGAUAAAAGAACCAUAACAGACAAUGAUGAGGAGCCUAGCAAACAGGGGGCCAAGAAAAAGAAGAACAAGAAGAAAACAAAGGAGAACAAUGGAAGUGAGAACCAGGCAGCGACUGAUGUUAUGAAUUCAGCUAGCAAGGAGCAGACAUCACCCAAAGCACGGACUUAUGGCAAUGGUUUGAUUGUUCAGACGGUGGCGUUGGGCAAACCAGAUGGUAAAAAAGCUACCCCUGGGAAAAAGGUUUUUGUCACGUACACUGGCAAGUUGAAGAAUGGCAAGAUUUUUGACUCUAAUGUUGGUCGGAAGCCUUUUGCGUUUAGGCUGGGUAUUGGACAGGUUAUUAAAGGCUGGGACAUUGGUGUCAACGGUAUGCGCAUUGGGGACAAAAGAAAGCUUACCAUUCCACCAUCUAUGGGCUAUGGAAACCAGAAGGCCGGGGAGAUACCGCCGAACUCAACUCUUCUGUUUGAUGUGGAGCUAAUGAACGUACAUUGAAGAGGUGACCGGGGUUACCAAAAGGGACGAGGACAAACUGAGACGGUUGUGCAAGUUCAAGAAACACCAUUUUCCUCCGUCAUCGCCAUAGCUUCAGUCAACAACAUCCUACAGUCGUCUUCAUGUACCUUGUUUUUCCAUCAGCUCUACAUGUCAACUAAGCCAUCUGGGCUUUUUGUGGGGGCGUAACAUUGGCCUGGGCUGCAACUGAACUUGUCACUCUGAUGAUUUUGUGGCCCGUUUUGACAUUCUUCUGGAAAGACUUGUUAUGAAGGAAUGGAGUUCACAGUUUUGAACUAUCGUAGGACAUACUAGUUGCU